UACGAAGGGGGCUAGCGUUGCUCGGAAUCACUGGGCGUAAAGGGUGCGUAGGCGGGUCUUUGAGUCAGGGGUGAAAUCCUGGAGCUCAACUCCAGAACUGCCUUUGAUACUGAGGAUCUUGAGUUCGGGAGAGGUGAGUGGAACUGCGAGUGUAGAGGUGAAAUUCGUAGAUAUUCGCAAGAACACCAGUGGCGAAGGCGGCUCACUGGUCCGAUACUGACGCUGAGGCACGAAAGCGUGGGGAGCAAACAGG
rnacentral:rRNA from 1 species